rnacentral:rRNA from 1 species
GAUGAACGCUGGCGGCGUGCUUAACACAUGCAAGUCGAACGGUGAAGGCGGAGCUUGCUCUGCUGGAUCAGUGGCGAACGGGUGAGUAACACGUGAGCAAUCUGCCCCUGACUCGGGGAUAAGCGCUGGAAACGGCGUCUAAUACUGGAUACGAGCUGCGAAGGCAUCUUCAGCAGCUGGAAAGAACUUCGGUCAGGGAUGAGCUCGCGGCCUAUCAGCUUGUUGGUGAGGUAACGGCUCACCAAGGCGUCGACGGGUAGCCGGCCUGAGAGGGUGACCGGCCACACUGGGACUGAGACACGGCCCAGACUCCUACGGGAGGCAGCAGUGGGGAAUAUUGCACAAUGGGCGAAAGCCUGAUGCAGCAACGCCGCGUGAGGGACGACGGCCUUCGGGUUGUAAACCUCUUUUAGCAGGGAAGAAGCGAAAGUGACGGUACCUGCAGAAAAAGCGCCGGCUAACUACGUG